rnacentral:rRNA from 1 species
CAGUAGCGUAUACUAAAGCUGUUGCGGUUAAAAAGCUCGUAGUUGGAUAUCAGUGCGUGUCCGGUCCGGUAUGCCCGUCACCGCUGCGGCAACGCAGCGGCCGACGGGCGCCAAAAUAUCGGCCGGCCGCAUUCAAUCGUGCCGGAUCCGUCGACGGGCCGUUCCUCGGAGGGGCUAGUUGGCGACCGGCGACGUUACCUUGAACAAAUUAGAGUGCUCAAAGCAGGCUCAGAAUGCCUGUAUACAUAUUCAUGGAAUUGGAGAAUACGUCCCUGACUCGAUUUGGUUGGUUUUGAGAGUCGAAGGGAAAUGAUUAAUAGGGACUGACGGAGGCACUCGUAUUGCGACGCGAGGGGUGAAAUCCUGUGACCGUCGCACGACGAACUACUGCGAAAGCAUUUGCCGAGAAUGUUUUCAUUAGUCAAGAACGAAAGUUAGAGGUUCGAAGGCGAUCAGAUACCGCCCUAGUUCUAACCGUAAACGAUGUCGACCAGCAAUCCGCAAUAGUCACUACACGGACUGUGCGGGCAGCUUUCCCGGAGAAAUCAGAGUGUCUGGACUUCGGGGGGAGUAUGGUUGCAAAACCCAAACUUAAAGGAAUUGACGGAAGGGCACCACCAGGAGUGGAGCUUGCGGCUUAAUUUGACUCAACACGGGACAACUCACCAGGCCCGGACACCGUAAGGAUUGACAGACUGAUAGCUCUCUCUUGAUUCAGUGGGUGGUGGUGCAUGGCCGUUCUUAGUUGGUGGAGUGAUUUGUCUGGUUUAUUCCGAUAACGAACGAGACUCUGGCCUAUUAAACUUGACGUCGCCAGUCAUUCUGUGACUGCUUCGUGCUUCUUAGAGGGAUCAUCGGCGUCCCAGCCGAAGGAAAUGGAGCAAUAACAGGUCUGUGAUGCCCUUAGAUGUUCUGGGCUGCACGCGUGUUACACUGAAGUGGUCAGCGCGCCGUUUCACGUCCCUCUCCGUGAGGAGCGGGCAAACGUUUGAACCCUUUUCGUGAUGGGAAUUGGGGGUUGCAAUUGUCCCCCAUGAACGAGGAAUUCCAAGUAAGCGCAGGUCACUAGCCUGCGUUGAUUAAGUCCCUGCCCUUUGUACACACCGCCCGUCGCUACUACCGAUGGAUGAUCUUGGUGAGGUCGCCUAGACUGGCCGCUGGCUCGGCC